rnacentral:misc_RNA from 1 species
UAAAGUGCGAUACGUAAUGCGAUUUGCAUGAAUCUGUGAGUCAUCAAGUUUUUGAACGCAACUUGCACCUCUUGGGCAACUGAGAGGUAUGUCUGUUUGAGUACCUAAUCCCCAUCUUGUCUCUAGUCAGAGGCAGACUUGAGGUCUUAGCUCUCUCUCUCUCGCAAGGGAAAGAGGGGGGUGAGCCUUUAAAUGAAGCAUGCUAAAGGUGCUGAAGACCUUGGCUAUGUGCUAGAGACCAACACACUGGUCUUGUCAUAGCCAAAAGUUUUGGUGCCUGCCUUGCUCUUUUACCCCAUAUAUAUAUUAUAUAAGGGGAAAAGUGCGGCAAUCUUUUAACUUGGUCUCAAAUCAGGCAAGACUACCCGCUGAACUUAA